AAAGAAACAAACAUGAAAAAAGAAAAGGGUGCUGCUCUCAGACGGUCCACAUCAGUGGCUCUUCAACCGUUCUGCCGAUCCCUUCUCACUGCAGUGUUUUGUCCACGUACAUGCAGCGUGACUCCUUACACGGCUGGCACCACAGCGGCCACAUUACUACUUGCUUUCUGUCGGCCCCCUCCUUCCUGCCCACUUUUGGCUAAGCGGACCGAAUGUUGUUUUGCUGCACUCCGUUUUAAUUUAUACGCCGGCUUUUCAGCAUUAUUUCGUAAGCAGCCGCUCUGCAGAGCUCAUGGCACACUGGUUUCUCGGUCUGGGGGUGUCAGCACAGCACAACAGCAAGAACAUUGCAAACGUCCGCGUGUGGUUGCCCCCAAGUCCCUUCACGCUACAGGCGGCACACGCAUCACCUCUCCAGACAGCGUAAACCCCCGUCUGUGCUGUGGUUUUUGCUUUCGGCCGUCCUGCGUAUUUCAAGGGAACGAAAAGGAAAAUUCCUCUUUUAUUUUUACCUCCCUUUGAAUCAUUUCUAGUCUUUUCCCUUCCUUCCCGAAGACCUGAGUAUUCACACGGUGCCACUUCCGUUCCGUCUGAAGGACCAUCCUUGGGUGAUUCAGCAUUUUACAGAAAUCUGUUGAUGACAAACGUUCUGCUAUUGUAACUAAAACCUCUUUAUUCCACUUCUAUUCUCAAAGGGUAUUUUGGCCGGAUAAAGAAUUAUGGGUUAACUGCCCCGCCCCCCCAAACUCUGAAGAGAUCGCAGUUUCUGCAGAGAAGGCCGGGACAUCUCGUGUGACCGUAUAUACGGAAUGGGUCCUCUCUUCCUCCGGGCGCUUUCAAGAUGUUCUCUUUUCUGUUGGUUUUUAGCACCUUGACUACCCUGAGCCUAAGCGAGGUUUCCUUCUUACUUCUGCCUGCAGUUCACGGAGCUCUGAGAAUCCGGACAUUGAAACCUUUCACCAAAUCUGGGAAAUCUUCAGUCAUUUCUCCACACUGUGUGCCCCAUCCUGGCUCCUCUCUUCCGGGACUCCAAUCAGUCACGUGUCGGUCAGACCCGCUGCUUCCCGAGGCUCUGCUGGUUUCUGUUCCUGAUCUCGUCCUCUCUGUUCUUCAUUGCCAGUCAUUUGUCAACCGGCUCAUCCUGUGCUGCGUCUUCCUUCUGGCGUCCCCAGUCGCCUCUUAAUUUUCCCAGAUACUGCAUUUUUCAGUUCUAGAAUUUCCAUCUGGUUCUUCUUUAACAGUUCCUGCUUCUCUCUGGAGCUUUCCCACUCCCACAGGAGCGUGUCUUCCUGUGUCCUUGAGCACACUUCCUGCGCCCGGCCGAGGCUUCCAACACCGGGGCCCAAUCUUGGGGUCGGUCUCCACUGCGGCCUCGUGACCGAGGGUCACAGUUUCAUCCCCCCGAGAAUACUGAGCUGUAGACGCUGUGAAUGACCAGGUGUAGAGAGACUCUACGCUCUGCUACAUUCUUCUUUCUGGGUAUCGAUACCUUUAUUUCAACAGACAGCUAACUGGCCAGACUCAGACGCAAAACUCUCCCCUGAAGCAGGAGCCGGCAGAAAUCUCCAUUCCGUUCUUUCAGCCUCGGCCGAGCUGCUUGAAGUCCAGCCCACGGCUGCACGUUUCAAGCAUCAGCAGACACGUCAGAAGAGAGGACAGAGGAUUUGGGGUUCCCCUGGCUCCAACUCUGGCCUGAACGCUGUCCCUGGGUCUUGCAGGAAAAGUGCAGCUGACUCUUUCACAGCUCCUUGAGGCCAACAGCACUGCCUUUACCAGAACCCAGCCCCACGUCUCCCGGCCUGCUUCAACGCGCGGCGAGCUCGGCCAAGACGGGGACCAGGAGUGCUCUGUGCCCUGCUGGCUAACGGCAGGAAGGCGGGGGACCCACGGCUCACGUGGCAAGAGUUGAACAACAAUGGUGGGAUCAGGAAGGCUCCCCGUUCACAGGAAAUGCUCGGUGUGUCAGCAUCGGCGGAGGGCCGUGUGAGGUCACGGGCAACGGCGACCACGCUGGUCACGCGCGGCGGCUCCCAUUCAACGCGACGUCUUUUUUGAUAAACUGGAACGGCUGGCUUCGCUUCUUCUGUCCUCUUGGACCGUGUGUGCAUAUGCUCCGUGUACAGUCACCACAAUUUUGAGAACCAGUCUGCUAAGUCUGGAAACGGCAAUGGUAUGUCGCCUACUAUUAAA